UAUUGUUGUAUACAUAAAUGGGGGUGAGGAGACUUGAGCCCCAAGAACUGGCUAGCCACCUCCCAUCAUAAGUCAAACUAAGUUGGGACUUAGCUUUUUCCUUUCUAACUUCUCUUCUUCCUUCCUUUCUCUAGCAUAAUUCUUUUUAAUUUUACCUUUAGUUAGAUAACUACUACAUUAAUGUAUUAUCAAACUGCAGCAUUUAAACAAUAAAGGGGAAAAAUCAAUUAAAUUCAGAAUAUAGGCUAGAUUAAGGAAGGGGGGAUAUUUUACUUGCCUCUUCUAUCCAAGAAUGACUUUUCAAUGAGAAAUACCAUUAGCAUCAUCUUCAUCAUCAUAAUUAUCAAACUCUCUCCACAACUGAAGACUUCAAAGGCUCUCUGGCUUUAUGACCUUUUGUUUGUUUUGUUACUUUCAAUGUGGAGGAAGCAAGGAGAGAAAUCACAUUAUAAACCUGUUCUUUCUUGGAUAGUCUACUAAGAAAUUUUAGCCAAUUAAAAUUCCCAUAUGAUGCUAUGUUUGUGUUUAUAUUUUAUCCUAUGUGAGCUACCAUGCAUUUGGGCUACUUCUGUAACUAGUGUCCGCAGUUUAUUUACAACUAUAUGGAACCUAAUUUCAUUCCUUACAGAAGUUUAUAUUUAUUGCAUCUUGGGCUUUAUGACGAUGGCCAUUCUUUAUGGUUUUUUUUCAAGUCAUUCUCAUUGUUCAUUUGAGGCCAGGCUCUUAGUCACUUUCUGUUUAGUGUUGUAGAAGCCUUGUGGAUUGCGAGGUGUGAAUUUUUUGGUUGAUUUUAAGACCUUUACUCUUACCUAUUAUCUUCAUACAGUCCCACAGGGACUCGUUUUCCCACGAUGUCAGUUUAUGCUCAUCACUUACUCCUCACAGCAGCAGGCAAUUUCUGUCUUUCUCAUUUCACAUAUGAGGAAACUGAGGGCCCAAAGAAGUUACAUCAUACAUUUGCCAAGAAGUUAGCCACCUAAAGAUAAACCAAAAGGGUGUCUACGCCCUCAAGAGAUUGCUCUGCUCAGGGCAGGGACAAUGAAAUAGCAUCCAUGGGGGAGGUUCUCCAGGGGAGGUAUGCCGAAUUUGGAGGGAAGGGACAGAGGACAGCUCGCGGGCCAGGAGUGUGCAGGGAAAGGCUUUCUGGAAGAAGUACCACAUUUUCCUCAAUAGGAAGGAAUUAAUCACUUCCAAAAAGGGCGAUGCUGGCCAGGGAAGGCUCCUCAGUGGAAAUGGCAAUGCACACAAAGGCAUGCACACUGCCUGCCACUCACCAUCACCUAGGGACUUUGUUAAAAUACCAGUUCCUGGGCUUCCCUCCAGAUCAAUUGAAUUCAGACAAAUCUGGAAUAAGUUUUUGCUUGUAAGUUGUUGACUGUUUGGAGAUCGGUCAGAUGAAAAGGUGACAGAAUCCUAUCUAGACUUCUACUUAUUUUCCUCUGAAAGAGACAUUGAUAUUGAAAAGGAAGCACUAGAGUAAAUCUGCUUGAGGACAGAAAUACGAGAACUCAUAUUUUCAAAAGGAUUCUUAAGGUGUGUGUGUGUGUAUGUGUGUGUGUGCAUCUGUGUUCCUCUUUGCUUCAAUCAGAUUACUCAUAUGAUUCAUUCAUUCAUUCAUGCAACAGCAUUUGCUAAUCCACCUGCCAGGUAUUUAUGGGAUGGCAUUGAUUACCAAUUGUUCUUGACUUUUAUGAAGCCAGAAUAUUCUUUAAAAAAAAAAAGUAAGUAAAUUAUAACUAAUUCAUCUCAAGGAAUGUUUUAGUGUACUUUUCAGAUUAUUUUAUGCUAAUAAUGGUUAUAAAUUUUUACCCGACUGCCUAACAACUAUGUAAAAAGAUUAAUCUAAUUUGAAAAAACUAAAUAUCGUUUGAUGAAAACAAAUGAGAUCAUUGAGAGUCAAACAGAUGGUUUUGGCAGCUUUUCUGUAUUUACUUGGACUGAGAAUCACCCUUUAAUUUGGGGUUCUUUCAUGAACAAUAAUGUAUUUGUUAUCUCAGUAUGUUUCUUAUUAGUGGAUCACAAACAAAUAAGAUGUAUUUCAAACAUAGGUCAAAUUCCAUCCUCUUCCUUCAUAUAGAACAUAAGAUAUUAAUUGUCCUUGAUGAAAGAUAUAAGAAAAUAGUCUUUCAUUUGUCAAGUGGGCUUUUUCCACAAUCUUGUUUUUUAUUUCUCUGUGCUAUAUCUUGUUUUUCAAAUGGUUGUAAUUCCACGGGUUACAUUUUAAAGAAUUUCACUUCUGUAUUUGAUUUUAAAGAUAUCUUAUGAUGUCUCAGAAAAUGAAAGGAAAGAAGCAAAAUAUAAAUAUUUCCACACUGGUUUCCCAAAUCAGGACAGCCAUCCUAUGUUCCGAUAAAUAACAAUUGGAGAGUAAAGCACACAUGGAGGAUUUCAAUGGAUUGGGCUUAUGUAUACAGACCAAGUACUGGCCAAAGUAAAAGGGAACUCCGAAUAAUGGUGUACAAAGUCGAGCCCUAUGAAUUAUAGCUUGCCUUUCAUGCAGUUCAAGGUCAUGAAAUAAGGGGCUUCCUCUCAGUGUUGCCUUGAGAAUGAACUGGAAGACACCGUUCCUUUCAAAAUAUUGCUGUGUGGCUGUUUUGAAGGCAGGUGGCGGGGAGAAGGAGGUAGGUCAGCCACUUACCAUACUUACCAUAUAGAGGACUGAGCACUAAAAAAAAAAAAUGUUAAAAAAAAACCCCAAUCACACUCUCUUUGUUGAUAGAAUAAAUUGUCUUAUUGUUUAAAUGUUUUAAGAUGGAAAGGCUGAGUUAGCCAUGUAUGUGUCAAUCUGUUUGUUUUUAACCAGCUUCUUUUGGCAAUUAUCACCGUGCAUCGUCUGCUGCCCACACAAGAGAGUGACUCUUUCUUCAACUUCUGUUUUCCUUUCUUUUAGUCACAGCCAAAUUCAUUGGUAGUCAUCAUAUAUGAUGUCCUGGAUGCAGUUUGCCACAGGUUUCACAUCCCAAUAAAGGAGGGACCUGCCCUAAGGUUAAUGCUCUCUCAGUCAUCCGAAUUAUGCUGUGAACUAGAUUUAGAGACUAUUUUGAAAUAGACAAAUCCCGGUCUUUAGGUGUUCAUAGGUAUUGUUGUAUUCGCCCCUGAAGUGGUGGUAGCUGUUAUUCUGAUUCCACAGAUGGGGAAACACAGAUGCUCUGGGAGGUAAAGUGAUGUUUUUCAAGAUCACACAGUAGCGUCAAGUUGCAGGACUCAGAUUCCAAAGGCUAAUUCUUCUUCCUGCCGUCACCACCAGCCUGGGAGAUCAGAAGGAGGGAGGAGAGACCUGGAGAGUUAGGAGGGCUCAGGAGAUAGAAGCGUGAGAGAAGCACUGGCUUCAGUUUCUGCCUGCACGAGCCUCGUCUGCUGCAUCCCUUCUCCCUCCAUGGAUUUUUAUAGCCUGGGUAGACCAGCAGUUUCAAAGGAAGUAUUGAAAGGCAGCGAAGCUUUGUGGAGAUGAUGAAGACAACAUCUGGCUUAGGAAGUAGUGACUUUUCUUACUAACUGACAUUUUUGGGGGACUCCCCGACUUAAUUUUCAUUUCCUCUUCAGUAUCCAUGACUGUUUAUACUGCAGUAAUGUCCCAGUGAGAUGAGCUUUAGUUUUUUGUAAGUAUUACGUGUGCCUGGUUUCAUAAAAUACUUUUAAUGGACAAUGCAUCCAGACAAUUAAAAGUAUACAGAAGCAUUUAUUGUAAGAGUAAGGCUUCCAGCCACUCUUGACCUUAUUUAUCUUGUGACUUUUCCUGGAGACAACCAUUUACCAGAUUUUGGGGGAUCCUUCCUGAGCCAGCAUUUGCAUAUUGUGUGUGUCCCAACCACUUAGGAGUCUCUUCUAGCUUUACUCUUACUGUUUUAAUGCUGAGACUCUGAUCUAUCAGUCAAAACAUUUCGGAAAAGUAUGUUCCCACCAUCGAGCUAUUCAACUGCAGGGCCACUACUAUAUUUACCACGACUUUGAGCUCAGGAGAAUUUGUGAUGUGUUCCUUGAUGAAAAUUAUUAGAUAAUGGAAUGCCUGUGUAUAUAUUUUAACCGAUAACUAUUUUUGCCUUUAACAAGAUGACUAAUUUUAUCUACCCAUUCCCAGAAAUUUGAAAGGGGGUUUUUAAUAUGUUUUUAAAGACAAGAAAAACAAUGGGAAAUUAGAUGGGCUUCUUUUUUGCCCUCCUUUUCUCUAACUGAAAAAAGAUGUAGACAACGUUAUAUUUCAUGGAUUGAUUUCCCAUAAUAUAAACCAGGCUAUUCUGGCAUUUGAAUAAAAAUGACCUUACUAUUUGUUUGAAAAGAUUUUGUGAAUAUUAAAAUCAUACUCUAAAAAAUCUGUUUUUGUUAUUAAAGCUAGUAAGAAAACUUCAAACAGAAAUCCGCUUUCCCUGUCAAAUUUGUCCCAAUUUACUUAUUCGGGGCCUCUGCUUUUUAGAUUCUGUAGGAUUUUGGAAAGCAGUUUAAGCGGAGAGUUUGUGGUUGCCUUUACGUUAGAAGAUUCGAUUUCCAAGACUUGCUGCUGACUUAGGGCACAUCAGUUUUCACUUUUCUAAUGUGGGCAAGUUGAGAAUGUACCUUAUUGUGACAGAGGAAGCCGGUAGCCCUGGUCUCCCUUUUGAGUCACAUGCAAAGUGCUGUAAUCGGACAUGGACCUGGUAUCCAUAAUAGAACCUGAGUGUCCUCUCCAGCUGCCACCAGCCUAACAGAGCUGCCUUCAGCUACUGAUGUCCAGUCUAUUUAUUUUCUAUUGGUACAUAAUGAGUUAUGGCAAAUUUAGUGGCCUAAAAUAACACUCAUGUAUUAUUAGACAGUUUCCAAGGGUUAAGGUUCUGGACAUGGCCUUGGCUGGAUCUCACAAGGCUGCAGAAAAGGUCAGCCAGGGCUGGGUCUCAUCUGAGGCUCAAGGUCAUCUUCUAAGCUCAGGCAUGUUGUAGUUAGUAGCAUUUAGUUCCAUGUGGCUGUAGAAUGGCUUGCUUCUUCAGGGCCAGCAGGAGAGCAUCUUUUUGACCUCUAGAUGCUUUUUAAGGGCUCACCUUUUUGGUCAGGUCCACUUAGGACAAUUUCCCUCUUUAAUAAAUCAAAUUGAUUAAGAAUCUUAAUUACACCUGCAAAAUCUCUUCAUCUUUGCCACAUGACAUAACCUAACCAUGGGAGUGAUGUCCAUCACAUUCACAGGUCUUGCUCAGGCCCAGGGGCAGAGGAUUACACAAGGUGGGUAUAUCAGGGAGUGGACAUCUUCGAGACCACCUUAGAGUUCUCCCAACCAUGCUCAGAGCAGCUCUGGGAUGCAUGGCAGGUAGAAGUUUCCAUGGAGCCUGGAGCCUAGAGCUGGAAGAUAGCUUACAGAUCGCUGCACACAGUAAGUGCUAGCAAGUGCACCCUCUUGGCCAUUUCCUCUCCUCUGAUUAGGUGGCCCCUGAGCCUUGCGAAAUCUGGCUUCUGCUUCUCCUCUAGCCUCUUCUUGUUCUGGACUCCUCCAGGUCGGAGACUUUCUUUUGCGUCUCCCACUAUUCUGUGCUCACUUUCUGCAUGGGGCUUUGCACAUACCGUUCCCUCUGCUUGGGCUGCUUUCUACCCUGUCAUCUAGUCGACUCUUCCCCUUUCUUCACUUCUCACUUUAGACAUGACUUCCUGGCCUCCCCGCUACUUGCCAUAGAAUUAAGGAUCUCUCCUUCACACUCAGCACAAUCGUCAUUUAGCGUUUUGAUUUCUGUAACUCCCGCUAAACUGGAGGUUCUGUGAGGUCAGAGUCUAACGUAUUCUCAGUGCGAUCAUUGUGCUUGGCACACAGUAGUUAUACCAGUGGAAAUGCGUGCUCGUGGAAAAAGGGGAGUAAGCGAAAGGUAGGAAAAUUGGGACCAAAUUCUAGUCUUCCUAGUUCAGUACAUGCCUCAUGACGUCAACUGCAUAUCUAGUAUAUUACUAUUGAGCCAUAUACAUCUUAACACAUCUUAAGUCCUUUCUGGAAUUUUGCAAGGUCUAAAAAAUUGUUGAGUGAGAAUCGUUGGGAGAGAAUAAGAGUGGAUAAAUAGGAAUGAAAAAUGACUGUCUAUGAACCAGUUCCAGCUCCUGAUACUUUACUAUUUCUUCUCUGAAAUUCCAUAGAGGUUAAAAAUAUCCUUAAAAUCACCAUGGCCUAAGUGUAUUUUCACCUGGCAGUGGCUGCAGUAUAUUUCAGUAUACAGACAUAGCGAUAACCUAAAUGUAAUUUUUAAUAGAUCUUUCAUUCUAUUUUGCAAAGUUACCACAUACUAUUAUGCAAUUAUGACUUCGGAUUUCCUAGUUACCGUCAUUUUGAUAUGAUUAUCAUCUUCCUUGUAUAACAUUAUAUAAAACACCUUUAAUUUGGCUUUGAGUUUUCUGUAGCUGAUUUUAAAAGUAUUCUUUUAAUACUUGUAAAAGAACUUAAAAGUGACUGACUGUAACUUGCCUGCCAUGCGGGGUAAACCGCUCUGCUCUCAAAGAUGAUUUCUCCCUUCCUGUUUUAUAUUUCACUAUGGGGAUGAAAUCACGGUGCUGCUUAUCAUCUCAAAAUGUCUUGCAAUCCAAAUAUUUUUAUCUCCUCCGAAGCUUCUAUUGGCGUUGUUUCACCGAGUCGAUCAAACUGAGAAAAACAAAUCUAGGUAUUCCAAGUGGAAAGUUGGAGUGUAUCAUCAGAAACUACAGGAAAGAAAUGAGUUGACACAGUAGCCCCCACAUCUGUCUAAGUUCUCUUUUAUUUGCUGCUUAAGUUUGGCAACUGCAAAAUCGAAGGUAUGUCUGUAUGUGUGACUUGUAUAUGCUUAUGAAGAUGCAUGAAUGUACAUGCACCUAUUUAUUAUUUUAAAAAUGAUCCUCAUGCUGCAAUUAGAACCCUUCUUAUUGGGCUUUGAUCAGAGAAUAAUCUCAGUCCCUUCAGAAGUUGGCCUUUUUUUUUUUUUUUUAAAGAACACAUGCUCCAGGUUCCCUUUUGGAGAGGUAUCUCAUCUUGAGGGUGAAUGUGCAUUUGCCUGAGCAUUCUUCUGCUAGCGAGGUGUAUGUUUAACAGGCCUGAUGUGAUAAUGAAGGUGAACAAAGUACAUUGGUAUGUCCAUGAACUUGAGUGUCUCCUUUGCUCAGAUGAGCUUAUUUACCUCAGUGCCAGCUAAUUAUGUUUCCAGUAGCUUGGUGGUGAGAGGGCGCAAGAUGUUUAUCUGCAGACAUGCUUGGGCAUCUCCCAGCUGGUGUUUAACAUGUGAGGCAGCCUUCCAAUUCCUUGAGAAUGUCUGGGCAUCCCUUUGAGCCAUACAGGCAGAGCGAUCAGACUUAACAAUGCACUUUGAGGUUUUGAUAUUUUAGGUUCUGGGGACUGUGGUCUGGGGACUGGCCAGCGUGAUGAGGCUGUGAAUGCAAAGGUAACAACUUCAGGCCUCUAGAAGCAAGGGCACAUUGAGGUGCUGAGUGCGAACGCCAGGGUACUAUUUUCAGGCACCUAGAGAGGGGACUUCUGUGCCUUGGAGGAUAAUCACAAAAGCCUUCAGUCAUUUGAAGAAUGAAGUGCAAGGGCAUCAGACUUGAAAUUAAAUGUGGAAUCAACUCCCUACUCUGCCACUUGUAGAGACUUGAGCUUUGCCAAGUGUAAGUCGAAUCAUACAAUAUUUAUUGUUUCGUGUCAGGCUUAUUUCAUCUAACACGAUGCCUUCAAGUUUCAUUCAUGUUGUAGCAUGUGUCAUGACUUCAUUCAUUUUUAAGGCUGAAUAAUAUUCCAUUGUACGUGUACACCACAUUCUGUUUCUUCAUUCAUCAAUGGACAUUUGGGUUGUUUCCACUGGGCAUCUAUAUUCUUAAUUAGCCCCUGAUGGUUCUGAUGUUCAAUGGGCUUGGGAGCCACUGGAAUAAAUAUUCUUCUGGUUAAGUUAUGAGUUUGUGUAUACUAGGUUUAGAAGGAGGAAAGCCAGAUAUAAUGUCAAAACUGAAAAGAUAUGACUACUGGUCUUCUUACGUAUGUUAUCUAGGUCUAUAGAAUAAACAGCAUGACUCGAUGCCAAUAAAAUAUCCUAAACUCUAGCCAAAUGUUCAUGGUAUGUUAGGAAGAGAAAAGGUUUCACAGAGCCAAUAGCCUCUAAAGUUACAAUAAAUAGUUCCAGAUACAGUGGCGUGCUGGAGUACUUAUCUCCCCAACUCUGUGUCGUGAUUUGUCAGUAGCUCAAAAUUGAACAUAAUGGGAGGAUUUAUACCUUGGACAUUGGAACGCUCUACAAAAUCCGGGCUUUUCUCUCUCGUAGAGCCGGUUAUUAAACAUGAGCAGCACACCAUUGAUUCUAUGUCCAGUGUUGGGUGUUUUUCUUCUUUUUAACAAGCACCACUAACCAAAGACAUACAAUUUAAAAAGAUAAGCCUUUAUGGACAAGUAAAACCCAGACAUCCAUGGUUCCUCUGAUUCAGGACGUUCAGGAGGUUGAUGGUACAGAGCUCCCAAUGAGCACCUGUCCUUCACCUCCGCGUUGGGCGCGGUGGGGCUCAUCCGCUGGUGAAGAUUUCUCCUCCCUCCUCUCCAGGUGCAGUCCCGCCGGUCGGUGACUGCUUUUCUUGUCAGAUAUUGGGUGGUCUCUUCUACAGCUUCUGCCCAUAGGUUAAGGUCUUUUUCCAUUUUGUCUUGUUUGUAGAGAGGGUGAAUUCUUCUCCUCAAUGCCCUUCUCUACCCAUGUUUCAAAUGUAACAAAGAUCUCUCUCUGAUUUCAUGGCAUGAGAUCGGAGGGCCCGCACACAGCCUUCCAGAAGACUCUGCAGAUAUGUUGAGCUGUUUAAUCAGACACCCUUUCUGCUGGACGCACAGUUCUAAAACUAUCCCAAGCAAAUGAGGCUCAGCUCUAACUUUCUAGAAAAGAGCCCAGGUAAAGGAGGUGGCAGAUUAGAGGAAAAAGAUGGGCUGCAGGAAUCUACACUUUUCAGACCCCCCUAGAAUGCCCUUUGUUCUUGGACUGCUCUUUGACAAAAUGUUUCUUAAAACUAUGGACUUGGUAAACACAGUCAGGCUUCAUGCUGCAGUGGAAGAGGCUCCUGGAUGCUGUGUGCAUCAAGUCUGAUUUUCCCAUAUAUGUAAUUUUAAAAAUGGUAUAAAAAGGGGUAUACCCACUAGGGGUAUUUUGUAGACAUAGACAAGUUUAUUCUACAAUAAAGAGGCAAAGGACCUUGAGUAGCUAAAACAAAUUUGCAAAACAAGAAUAAAAGUGGGAAGAGUCAGCCUACUCAAUGUCAAGAUUUAGAGCUACAGUAAUAAAGACAGCGUGGUCUUGGCAGAGAGACAGAUACAUAAAUCAAUGAAACAAAAUGGAGAACCCAGAAAUACACAUAUGCCCACCUGAUUUUUGAUAAAGGGGCCAAGACAAUUCAAUGGAAGACUAAUCUUUUCAAUAUAUGGUGCUAGAAGAAUUAGAUACCCAAAAUUAAAAAAAUAAUGUGAUCUAAACCUCAUAUAUUAAACAAAAAUUAACUCAAAAUUGAUAAUGGAUUUAAAUGUGAAACAUAAAGCUAUAAAAUAUGUAUUAAAAGAAUGUAGGAGAAAAUCUUUGGGACCUAGAGUUGGGCAAAGAGUUUUUAGAUUUGACACCAAAAGCGUUGUCCAUAAAAAGGAAAAAUUGAUAAAUUAGACUUCAUUAAAUUUUUUUUUCUUUGUGGAAGACCUUGUGAAGACAAUAAAAUCUAAUUAGAAAAUGGGAAAAAAGAUAUGAAGAGAUAUUCACCAAAUACUAAAUGCAGAUGGCAGUAAGGCACAUGAAAAUAUAUUUAACAUCUUUAGCCAUUAGCAAAAUGCAAAUCAAAACCACAGUGAAAUAUCGCUACUCACUUAUCAAAAUAAAUAGAUUAAAGUAUGAUAACACCAAAUGCUGGUGAAGAUGUGGAAAAUCUCUCACGUAUUGCUGGUAAAAAUGUCAAAUGGUUCAGCCACUCUGGAAAUCAGUAUGGCAGUUUCUUAUAGAACUAAACAUACUCUUUCCAUAUAACCUAGAAUUUGCACUCUUGGGCAUUUGACUGAGCAGAAUGAAAACUUUUGUUCACUCAAAAUCCUGUACACAAAUGUUCAUAGCACCUUUAAUCAUAAUAGGCAAAAAACCAGAAGUAAUGCAGAUGUCUUUUAAUGGAUGAAUGCUUCCGAAAACGGUGGUACAUCCAUGUUAUGGAAUACGGCUUAGCGACGAAAAGGAACAAGCUAUUGAUCCAUGCAACCAGUGCAUGGAAAAUAAGCUCUGUGAACUCACUCAUGUCAGCUUCCUGAUUUUGAUAUUGUGAUUUGGUAGGGCAAGGUAUUAACAUCAGGGAGGCUGGUGAAGGGUGUGUGGAAUCUCCCUGUAUAUUUUUUGUACUUUCCUGUGAAUCUAUAGUUAUAACAAAAAGUAAAAUAAAAAGGGAGGUGGUAAAAUA